CCCUUAGAUGUUCUGGGCCGCACGCGCGCUACACUGACGAAGUCAGCGAGCAUGUCCUACGCCGACAGGUGCGGGGAAUCUUGUCAAACUUCGUCGUGAUGGGGAUUGAUUAUUGAAAUUCUUGAUCAUCAACGAGGAAUUCCUAGUAAGCGCAAGUCAGCAGCUUGCGUUGAUUACGUCCCUGCCCUUUGUACACACCGCCCGCCGCUACUACCGAUUGAAUGGUUUAGUGAGAUCUUCGGAUUGGCGCCACUGCGGCUCAGCAAUGGGCUCGGUGGAUGCCGAAAAGUUGAUCAAACUUGAUCAUUUAGAGGAAGUAAAAGUCGUAACA
rnacentral:rRNA from 1 species